rnacentral:lncRNA from 1 species
UCUUAUUAAAAAUUAAAAGAAAGCAAAAAUCUAUAUAACAACAAGUAAAGAAACGACAAAGGCCCAAAGCAUAAUCCCGAAAACCUAACUACACUCUAACCUCCUCUCCCUCUCGCCGCCACCUCCCCUUCCCCACUUUUCUACUUUAUUCUUUAACCAUGGCUAAACUAAGGAGACCGAUAAUGACAAAGAAGAGCGAGAGAAAACCCAAUCGCUUCUCAAUUCUCGGACAGAAGAGGUAAGCUCAUAUCUCUAUAUUUUAGAGAUUGUAAAUCUUUUUAUACCUACUUCACUUGGAUUUUUGGGUACAAUUUUGUGAAUUAUUCCGGCAAUUUGAUAGAUAUUGUAUCUUAUUUUUGAUUAGUGAUUGAGAAUUUGAACAGAAAAACAAUAUUACAAAAUUGGGAUGAAGAUAAUUUAAUGGCGUAACUGGUAAAGUUGUCUUCAUGUGACCGGAAGGUCACGAGUUCGAGCCAUGGAAACAACCUAUUGCAGAAAUGUAGGGUAAGAUCGAUAUACUCUUGUCGUUCGGCCUUUCCUUGGACUCCGCACAUAGUGGUAGUUUAGUGCACCAGGCAUCCUUUUGGGAUGAAGAUAACUUAAGUUGUUUAAAAAGUGUUCAAAAUUUUCUUUUUUACUUCUUUUGUUUCUUUGUGUUUUUUCAUGUUGUUAUCCGUUAGAAAUUCUUGUAAAAUAUUUAUCAAGACAUGUUUGUUGUCUGCUUGAAAUUAUUCUAUUAAUGUUUUUACUAAUUGAACUUACAUCUUUGUGUUAAAGUUUCAAUUCAGUUGUAUCUGUUAAACAUAUAUGAUCAUUUAUUUUUGCUUCAUGGUGUUAAUUUUUUUUUUUUUUUUGACAGGUAAAUUGGUGGAGUUAGAGCAAUGAAUAAUUAAAGACCAAGAUAAGGUGCAGUUGAAGAUCCGAGGAGGAGUAAAAGAAGAAACGGUGUCUCAAGCAAGAUGGUGUUGUAGAAAAAUUGUGCAUCGUGAAUGCUUUGAAAUUUGCAAUUAUGUGUAACUUGAAACCUAUUGUGAAAUGUAAAUUCUUUUUAUUCGUAGCUACUUUAUUAAAAGCUUAUGUGUAACUUUGAAUUUAUUUUGGAAUCUAAAAUAUUUAGAAUUUUAGCUAUUAUGAAAAAUAUUGUAACUAGUUAUUCUUGUAGCAAGUUCUUUAAUUUGUGGCAAUAAAAGUUUGAAUUCGUGGCUGAAUAUAUAUAUAAUUAUCACGUAACAAAAACAUGAUUAUACAUUCUCAUUUUCGUAGCAAAAGAAGAAAUAUUUAGCUAGCUACCUAAAUAUUUGUGGCAAAUACUUCAAUUCAUAGCUAUGAAUUUUUGAAAUUGUAGCUGAAAAAAGUACUAUUGCCACGAGACUAAAAUAUAAAAAUAGCCACAAGAUUUGAAUUUUCGUGGCAAACAAAUUAAGUCUUUUGCCACAGUAAAAUACAUUGUGGCAAAAUAUAAAGAUUGCUAUAUAGUUUAUUUGUUGUAGCAAAAGAUUAAGAUUAUUUGCUAUGAG